UACGAAGGGGGCUAGCGUUGCUCGGAAUCACUGGGCGUAAAGCGCACGUAGGCGGACUCUUAAGUCAGGGGUGAAAUCCUGGAGCUCAACUCCAGAACUGCCUUUGAUACUGGGAGUCUUGAGUUCGGGAGAGGUGAGUGGAACUGCGAGUAUAGAGGUGAAAUGCGUAGAUAUCGUUUGGAACGCCAGUGGUGAAAACGGGUCGCUGGGGACAUGCUGACGCUGAGACACGAAAGCCAGGGGAGCAAACGGG
rnacentral:rRNA from 1 species